AAAUCGCGUGAGGGAUAGUAGUGAAAAGCCCACAGACAAAUGAAGCUUUGGCGGAAUUUGACGAGGACUUGUAACGAAUAGCCCGACCCGAA
rnacentral:misc_RNA from 1 species